CUCGUUGGUGUCGCUAAAGGUGGGGAGGGCCAGGAAGUGAACGCCGCUACGGCGCGGGUAGCGGGGCGGGGCGGGGCGGGGCAAAGGAACCCACGGCCAGGCCGAGCGGCCGGCCCGUGCUGACGUCGGAAGGGCCGGCACGCACGCGGCGCUCCUUUAUUUCCCGCCUCCCGCGGAGUUCACAGAAGCGCGUCUAGCUGGCGUGACCCGCACGCUUGCCUGUAUCCAAUGGGACGCCCGGAGGCGUGCGUGCGUAAGAGCCGCUGACACCUCCCACCUCUUCACCUUCUUGGCGUGGAAACCGCGAGAGUGAGGUAGAGCAUUGCUGCUGGCAGCGCUUGUGUCAGGUUUCUCGGUGGUUUCUCUCACGUGCUCCUACAUCGUUGCACCUUCAUAUCGACGAGAGGGUGCGCCAGCCCGUAUUCCUGGGCUGGGACCAAAGUGCAAGCCACUGAAAUAUUCCUCGAAUUAUGAGGGCAAGGAUUUUCUGUGGUUAUUGGAAUGGCAUCUGAAGCCCCACUGACUGGAGUCCAAUCCUGUCUUCACCGCGUCCUUUGAUUGUUAUGAAGGACCUUCAGGACAUCAUAUAAUUUCACCCAAAAACAUUUCAAUGUGUGUCUGUAAGAGGUCAACAUUAUACGGUGACCCAGAUGGGACCCAAAAGAGAUGAACCCCUGAGGAACUAAUGACCCUCAGAACCAUGUGAAGUACCCACUUGAGUGCCUAGUACUCUCUGCUUCCUUUUAGUUUGGUUGAAGGAUUGAUACUGAAACAUCGAAGAUUAAUCCAAGUUCACAAUCAAAUUGAAUUACCUUCCCACGCUCCAGUUUCAUGAGAAAAUGGCAAAUGGCAAGAAAUCAACCUGCACCUGACUGGGCAGAGUGUUCUUUGUGAGCUGAAUGUUCUACACCUUUAGGUACCUUUUAGAGACAGGUACCUUUUAAAGGCAAUACAGAUUGAGAACUGCUCAAAGUUUCUUGUGUCUCAGAAUCACCUUCGUGGCUUGUUAAAGUACAGGGGGUUGGGCCCCAGAGUUUUUGUUUGAGUCGGUCUAUUGGGGACAGGUUUGGAGAGAGAAGGCUGAGAAUUGUAUUCCCAGGUAAUGCUAAUGCUGUUGGUCUGCGGACCACGCUUUGAGAGCCACUGAUAUAGCAGGUAAGGGAAUGGGCACUGAAAUUGGACAGGCCUGGGUUUAAAUUCUAGUCCCACCACUUAAAAGAUGUGGAAUCUUGGUUAAAUUACUUACUCCCUGUGUCUCAGCUUACCCAUCUGUAGUGUGGGAGUAAUAGUAGCACCUACAUGAUGGGGUUGUUAUGAGGAUUAAGAACUUAAUAUACAUAAAGCUCUUAGGGUAGUGCAUGCUGUAUUAGUGUUAGUUGUUAUUACUAUUGUUGUUAUUGAGAGGUCAGGCCCCUGAGUUUGGACAGGAUCUCUAGGAGUAUGAAGAAAAGAGCAUUGACAUGGAUAGCCAUAUCAUUACCUUUUAAUUUGCCAUUUACAAGGGACAUUCAUGGUAGAGCUUGAUACCUUUGUUUUCUAGAGAUGGAGAUGCUUGGGGGUAGAGCUGAAUCGAACUCCCCUAUUGUCUGGUGAGAUGGUGUGUCUUUUUACCCCACCCCCUCAUCUCCACACCACAAUACACUUCAGCUCUCCUCUCUUAGCAAAGCAGUAACAGUACAAGUUUGGCCACAGGCCUCUAAGGCAGAUGCUCCAUGCCUCUUUGGGAAUCUCAUGGCAAUAUUUUCAUUCCAGGGAACAUUUAUGAAGUGCUCACUUAUGUUCCAACCUCCAUGGUUUGAUGUUUCUUUUAGAGUCCCGGCUAAUUAUCCUGUAUAAAAAAAAAGUCCCAGUAAAGUUCUGAUGCCUUUGGUAGGUCGUCCACUGAAGAGAAAAAUGUAUGUUUAUAAUCCAUUCACCCUGCCCUCAGGUAUGCCUCCCUUUUCCUGAGGCCCUUUUACAUGCGUCUCCUUUUGAUGAUAAUUAGGAAGCUUGUUACCAUCAUCUGGAUGUAGCUCUGUGCCCUGCCUGGGGGAAGGUGAAAAAAUCUGGACAUACUGUAACCGAUUCUCAGUCUCUUUGGAUGACAGUACAGUGUGUUUUCUAAAGAUCAGUUCCUGCACUUCAUUGUGGUGGCUGAUUCUGGCAUGCUGCAGGGGAAGGUUAAUAAUGCCCGGUGGGUUCAUUAGCUUUAGCCAAGUCUUUCUUGAUGUACUAAAAUGGACUAUAGCUAUCAUCCACAGCGGCUCUCUCCCUCUGCUCAUUAGUUAAUGUCAGGGCUUUAACAGUACCAAGCAAGAGAAAGGGUGUGUGUGUUUGCAUGUCCCCAUUUGCCUUUUCCCUCGCCAGCUGAGAGUAAUUUAUUUCUUUCCACAAAGGGAAAUAUGCCUCGAUGAUAAGAGUCCUGGCCUAUAAAUUGGAAAACCUUGAUUCUGGAACUAGCAUCACUUCUGACUUGCUUUAUGACCUUGGAUGUAUUAGCUAGAUUUUCUGGGCCUUUGUGUCCUUUUCUGCAAAAUAGGACGACCCUGAUCUUCCCGUCUCACAGGGUUAUUGAUAUCUGAUGAGAUGAUAGAACCAGUCAUGCUUUGGAAACUGAUUAGUGCUUUAUGUAUAGAAGAGAUAAUUAUUAUACCUAACAAAUACGGAUGAGAGAGCCUGUGCUUUCUUCUCACACCUGCCAAGCCCUAUUUAAUGAGAAUAACAAUCCUCAUGAUUUUUAAAGCUAAAAUAGAAGCUAAAUAGCUCUGCGUAUUUUACCAAAACAAUUAAAUUAUAGUGUAAUGGUUUCCAAAGGGCAAACGAAGAAAAAUCCUCCACAAUAAAAAACACAGGGGAAUUGAUCUAUUUCAUGCUGUAAAUGGAAGGCUUUCAGAAAUAAAAAUGCGUUUCAAAACUGA